rnacentral:lncRNA from 1 species
AUUGAUAGGAAUUUUUUAUCAAUAUUAUAUUUGAAUUAUCAAAGUAACUAACUAAUUUUAAUACUGUUUAUUAGUACAUUAUUUUUUUUGGUAACAUUUAGUUAUUGAUUUAAAUAAUAAUUCGUGACACCAAUUCAUAAAUUAUUAAUAUAUUAUGACUUUUUAAAUUUGAGAAUUAAAAUUAUUCAAAAAUAAACUAUUGUAAUAGCCCUUUUGCCCGGGCUUUUAAAAUAAUAAAAACAAACAAAAAUAACCCAAGCCCGCACAAAACAGGACAUGGCCCAAUACAGCAAAACUACUAGCCUAUGCCCAAUUACCCAAACCCCAAAACACCGAAACCCUAGAUGCAUUCGCCUCAGCGCCGCAACAGCCCCUACGACGCGCUCCAGCAGAUCUGAUCGGCGCACGUUGCGGAACCACCCCUUUUCCUCGCGUCUUACACUCCACGAACUCCUGCAAUCGCGGACUCAAAGAAUCCAGAGGAGAAAAACAAGCAAAAAAUAAUGUCAUCGAUUUAUUUUCUUUUUUUUUUCUUCAGCCUAUAAAAGGCCAUUUAAUAUGUAAAAGAAAGGGGGGAUACUGAAAAAAAGGAGUGUAAAAGACACGAAAAGAAAGAGAUACGAAUAGAAAAGAGAAAACAAAGGUGAAUCGGGGGUUCUUCUCUGCUAUCUGUUUUAUUUCAUUUUUUUGCUUUUAUACAAAUAUAAAUCAAAAGAGAAAAAAGGGGUUUUUUUUUACCUUUGAAGCUUCCCCGUUGAAACCUACACUCGCAUCGCUCCAAAUCGGGAGCCUGGCGAAGGGCUGAGACCCGAAGCGCCUUCGAACGCCGGAGGUUGGUUCGUUUGAGAACGGCGGCAGUGGGGGCUGGGAUUAAAAACCCUAGCAGAAAACAUUUUUUCCUCUGAUGCAAACCUUCUGUUUCUUUAAAAGAAAAUUUUUUAAAUAAGGUUGGCGAAACGGCGCCGUUUAGGUAGCCAUAACCCGCGUGUUCUGGCCUUAAAGGGUAAAUUGCGC